CCUACGGGAGGCAGCAGUGGGGAAUAUUGGGCAAUGGGCGCAAGCCUGACCCAGCAACGCCGCGUGAAGGAAGAAGGCUUUCGGGUUGUAAACUUCUUUUGUCAGGGACGAAGCAAGUGACGGUACCUGACGAAUAAGCCACGGCUAACUACGUGCCAGCAGCCGCGGUAAUACGUAGGUGGCAAGCGUUAUCCGGAUUUACUGGGUGUAAAGGGCGUGUAGGCGGGACUGCAAGUCAGAUGUGAAAACCACGGGCUCAACCUGUGGCCUGCAUGUGAAACUGUAAGGCUAGAGUGUCGGAGAGGCAGGCGGAAUUCCUAGUGUAGCGGUGAAAUGCGUAGAUAUUAGGAGGAACACCAGUGGCGAAGGCGGCCUGCUGGACGAUGACUGACGUUGAGGCUCGAAAGCGUGGGGAGCAAACAGGAUGAGAUACCCGGGUAGUC
rnacentral:rRNA from 1 species